rnacentral:tRNA from 6 species
GUCUAAGUGAUGAAAUUGGUAAACAUGAUGUGCUUAAAACACAUCGGCGUAAUGCCUUGAAAGUUCGAGUCUUUCCUUGGACA